rnacentral:rRNA from 1 species
UACGAAGGGGGCUAGCGUUGCUCGGAAUCACUGGGCGUAAAGGGUGCGUAGGCGGGUCUUUAAGUCAGGGGUGAAAUCCUGGAAGCUCCAACUCCAGAACUGCCUUUGAUACUGAAGAUCUUGAGUUCGGGAGAGGUGAGUGGAACUGCGAGUGUAGAGGGUGAAAUUCGUAGAUAUUCGCAAGAACACCAGUGGCGAAGGCGGCUCACUGGCCCG